UGACACUUCAGUCCCAGUUUCAUGGCAUCCAGCUUUCAAAGCCAUGAAUUCGACAGCUUUAAAUUUACUAUUAAAUUAGCUUUAAUACUUUAAAGUUGUUGACCCGCUUAACUGAUUUUCCAGCUUUCCUCUGUGACUUUCUGAAAGCCAGCUUAACUGGCUUUAACAUACCUUUAAACAGAAGAUUAAUGAAUCUCAUGAUUAAAUUCAACUUGGAACCACUCAGUGACAAAAUCAAACAGGAAAUCUGAGAGAAUUUUAAGUAUGUGUAAAGUUGGCAUCCACCAUUAUAAUCAUGAGUCAAAAAAUCAGGGUGGAGUUACAAGUGUCUAAAAAUUUUAUGACAGACUUCAAAUUAUUUGAAACUGUUUGUGGCUUUACAGAGAUACUGUAUUUCCUGAUGAACUUGGGGUGCUUUUAUUCUAGUUGAAGGAGGAUUGAGCAAUCAAUUUGAAAACUUCAAGCAAGAUUAGAGUUAAAAAACAGAGCCCAGGAAGGAACCAGCAUUUUCUGCGAACUGAAAUACUGAGUUUUAGAUAGCAGUAGUAGAGAAGCGAAAAACCACCGGCAGACUGGACGCUGCUCAGGCUGCUUUUCACGUGUGUACCCAGAGCACGCAGCCUCUGCUAGCCAGUGUUUGGUCCUGCGUGCUCAGCCUCAGCAAAAUUAAGCACCAAAACUCUGCUGGGCUCUCUAGUGGAACAGUGCUCCAUCUCUCUUCUGGAAAAUCCAGCCCUCAAGGUAAUACAAGAAAAUAUUCUUCAAGCUGGUGACAAGCACCAAAACCUGGAUGCAUGUGAGGAGCCAAUUCACUUUUAUUUAUGCCUCCACAGAGACUGCCGCCAUUUUAGGGCCUUGAAGCAGACAGUGCCCUCAGAAAAUGGCAGGAAGCUCUGGCCCCAGGGGAUUUCGCCUGGCAGUAUACCAAAACAUUGUCCAGGAUAAAAGUAUAACAACAAAUCAGCUUCCACUCAUGUAAGAUGACAGGUAUCUCUCUGCCAAGAAGAAUCUUGCUUUAUGACUUGUGAAUUGAAAUUUGUAUCCUCUCUAAGCACUCUUCCUAUCCAAAGUUUGGAGCAGAGAGUGGAACACAGCAGCAUGUUGUGGGAUCCUGGUUCUCAGCCUUCUCAAAGGGAAGCAGAAGGAAGUUUAAUGAGUUAAAACUGUACUUUUGCUCCAAGACUCCCAUUCAUUGAGUUGGUAUGAAACCCAAGUACCCCUUUGUGCUACAACUGUACCUUCAAUGACUGACAAGAUUAAGCUCUCCCUUUCUGUUGCCCUUUUGGCCUGCAACUACUGACAACAGCAUGAAAAAUUGGCUGAAGUGCUUGAUGAAGCAGUCAGGCUGGGACUGUGUAUCCAUCUGUUACAUGAGGCUCUUUGCCUAAAGUAUCUAUCACCUCUGUCCAGCUUCUGGAAACUUCUGGGAUGGGAGAGCAAACCAGUCAAGAUCAUGAUGUAUUAAAUGAAGCAUGUAUAAAACCUGGAUGCAGAGACCUCCAUUCAUGUCCAAUACCUUUCCUGGGAACGGCAGCAGGGGCACUUUAAUAGAAGGAGCUGCAAUCAGGUUUCAGGAUUCAGCAGUUGACUUCUUGCCCAUUUGUCUUUUGCAACAUCCAAGUUUCUCGUGGUCAGCUGAGCCCCAUGGACAACAACUCUGCCGGCAUGUACCUGGCAAUUGUGGGGAGUCACAGAGUCAGUGAAAGGAUGUUUUCUGUCUGUUUUAUACAGGGAAGUGAGGACAUUGUCAGGAUGUUUUCUGUGUGUGUUAUACAGGAAAGUGAGGACACAUUUCCUUUCUUGGUCAGCAUGGAGGCUCUCCUCAUGGUUUGAAAGCCCUAAAUAAAUGCAGAGGAACUCACAUGGAUUAAAUUUAAAUCCAAGAUUUGUUUCAGCAGAUGUCCUUCCCAGGGUAUUCACAGGCUAUUAGGGGAUCAGUACACUGCAGGCAGAUCUCCUGCCCUGUGACUCCUAAGUGUUGAGGGAUCACUCUGCCUAUUGACUUGUGGCCAGAUCUUCCCCACAUCUUCUGUCCCAGCUGCUGCUCCACCUUGUGCCAGGGAACUGAUAGUUAAGAAGAAGGUUUGAAACAAAACGUAGCAUCUCAUGAAGUUGCCCAUGUUCUGUUGCAGGGCUCUGUGGUGAGAUAGCUUGCUUACUGCAUGUGCCAGGAGAAGCAGCCACAAUUCCUGACAUCUUGCAUUGGGAGCAGUAAGAGGCCAGCUCGCCAGAGCUGGAAUGGGAGGAAGCACAUUGCCACAGUGUGGCUUUUUCCCUGCUGGGAAGGAAAUUUCAACCAUUUUUUAUGAAGUCUUCUGUCCCCAGAAAUAUGUGAGGCUGGUCUGUCAGAGUGUGACAAAAGGAUCAGUGUCUAAACCUUUAUGUUGUUGCCCCAUGGCUCCAGCAGUGACUUUCCAGCACCAACCACUCUAAUCACAACGGAAACCAGUACUGGUAAAUCCAACAUAAAUUCACUAAAGAAUUGCUUGUAUUUUGUCCAGAUGACAGAACUUAGCCAGUUCCACAGCCGGCCCACCUCUGAAACUCAGUGUCCCCAGUGCAUUGGUAUGGUGAAGGAGGUUAGAGGAAGUAUAAUAUAUAUUAAAAAAAAAAACCUAUUGAAAAUACCAGCUAACAAAUUAACUUGUAUAGCUAAUACACUGGAUUCUUUUGAUUAAGGAGAAAUUUUCAGGAAGAAUUAAUGCCAAUGGACUGAGAUAGUUCUUGCAACUUAUUUCAGAGGCAAGAGGAAAAAGGGGUAAAUCUUUGUGUACCAGACUAAAAAACCAGGGAAGCUGGAGUGUGGAAGUCAUUAUGAGAUUAAGAGAAUAGAAAAUUGCCUUGAAUUUAUGAGCAAGAAAAUUAUUUAUUUGUCCUUUUGUGCUUAAGGAGAAAGGGAUUCUGAACGAUCUGCUUCUCAAAAUAAAAGUAAUCUCACAUUUGGAUUGCUAGCUGUUCUUCCUCCUUCCUGAAUUAAGCAAUAGUCUGAGGUGCUUAAGAAGUUUUUCAGGUGUUCUUUGAAUUUAUACAGGCUAUGGAGAAAGUAAAAUAGAUAGGUAAGAGUGGUUUAAUCUCCUCUGUUCUUUGCUCCUUUCACCUCUCUGGUGGUUUCUGAAGCUCUUACACAAGUGCAGCUCCACCCCUGUGUUGCCAGACAAUGUGUCUGUGCUGUGUGUGUGCCACACGCAGCAUGAGGUGACACUUCUGUCCAGCUGGGAUUCUCAGGGACUUCAGCUGAAAUGUGUGCCCCUGCCCCAUGGUGCAAUCCUUGAACUGACAGCUCAAUCCUUGGCCUCAGCCUUUCCUUCACAUCCUUUUUGGGGGGGAUGCUGUGUUCAGACCAGCAGGCAUGUCUUUAAUGGUGGUUGCUUCCAGUGGCUUGAAGCUCAGGGUGCAAUCCCCAGGUAACUGUGGUAGGCAGCUGCAAACUUAGUUUGCCCAUAGAAAGCAAAGAGCUAGGUCCAGAGACCUGGAGGCCAUUUAUAAAGCUAGUUAUUAAUAUUUUAUUUCCUUUAUCUCUGUCUUGUGCUUCUCUGCAGUAGUUGCAGGCCCAGAGAACAAAGCAGUGUCUUUUGUUUAGCGGUUUAAAGUGCAGAAGAAGGGGAAGGAACAUUUGGUUGAUGUUAGACAGAUGUAAACUACAAAAUUAAUUAAAAAUUAACAACAACCAGGCACAAUUAGAAUGAGAAUCAGUUGGAAGAAGUUCUUCAGGGAGAGCAACAGGGUUUGCCUUUGGCUUCAGACUCUCCUCUUGCGGCACUGGGAAGCGGAGGCGUGUUGGCCCUUUUCCUUUUCUCAGGUGCCAGAGAGCCUAAAAUAGCCAUGGCAACAUGUUCUGGAAGGGUGAUCUGUAUCAAAAUGCAGUUCCCAGCAGCAGUGUUGUUCUCCAUGUUCCAACUCUGAUAACCAGACAUGGUGGUCAAUAGAAAGAGCAGAGCAAAACUGCACCAUCUUUUUCGCAUUGCUUCUGUACACACAAAAUGGAAAAAAACCCUAUCUUUUCUAGUAAUGUGCUCAUUUUAGCUUUGGGGAGGUGUUACUAAGUGCCUGAUACACUGGAUAGACAAGAUGUGUCCAUCAGCAGCAAGCAACCAGAGGUAUUUACUCAUAAUGGUGCAGUUUCCAAAGUGACAGAGAUGGCACCGAGCAAAGUGUCAUAGCUGGAGGAAUUCUCUUCACGGUGAAAUGAACUAAUACAAAACGAGUUGAAUUUCUGUUUUCACCAAUGCAAAAUUAUUCAUUAAUUUUGGUGAUUUGAGAUUUAAUUCAUAUGAAGACCAGAGCUCACACUGUCAGGAUUCCUGGAUUUGCCUUCUUCUCAGCAUAGGAGAAAAUAAUGUGAAAUGCCUCCAGCUUCCCAGAGAUGGGACUUUCAAGGUCAGUAUCAGUAUUUUUACUGCUUCAUCAAGGGAAGCCUGAAAUGAUUCAAGAUUCCUGUCUGGUGAGUUGUUCUUAAGAGGUUUCUGGUUUUGAGUUCUUGGUACGCCGACAAUCAUGAUAUUGUGAAAAUGUUUAUUUCUGCCUGCCCUUCUCUUUCCAACAUUGUUUUCAGGAGAUACAGAUGGCAUAACAGUCUCUAAGAGAUAUUAAGACUUUCAAGCAGCCACUGUUCCUUCAUUUAUUUGCUUUUGUUAGUUUCUGCAUACUUUCAGGAGCUGAAAUUAGUAGAGAGCCUCCAGCUUUUCACAGAUGCUGCCAUAUUACUGACUUCAUCCAUCCAGCAAAUGCUGACUGUGACACUGUAAAGGGUCCACACCUAUUUUGUCAUUACAUUUAUAGAACUCUUUGUUGUUGUUGAUUUCAAAAUACCAGCAAGUCCCAGUGACAAACUGCAGUGGUAUUUUGAGAGCAGUUCCCUCUUCCUGUUUGCUGUAAGUGACAUUGAAUGACUUAGGGGAUGAGAGAAGUACAAUUGCACUUCAAGAGAAACAUUUCUGGGGUUGGGUGCAACUGCUUUGCUAGCAGAAUGAAAAACAAAGUAAAAAUUGGAAGCACACUGAGUAAAAAGACCAAGCUCUGUCCUAUUUUAGGUUUUGAUAUUUUCGUCAUUAUCUAAUGCAGAAAGGAAAAAAUCUUUGGUUGUUGAAGUAAAAUACUUGUUUUGAACAUAUUUUGGACGAUUCUGUCUAUCCUGAUAAAAUUGUAGGAAGACAUAAGUUGCUUGAACUACAAAUUUUCUGAUAUUUAUCCAAAAUAUUUGCUGUAAUCUCAAGGCUUUUGCAACAUCAUCUUUAUCAGUAAGUAUUUUUCUUA